rnacentral:rRNA from 1 species
AACGAACGCUGGCGGCAGGCCUAACACAUGCAAGUCGAGCGCUGUAGCAAUACAGAGCGGCGCACGGGAUAAUAACGCGUGGGAACCUACCUUAUGGUUCGGAAUAACAUCGGGAAACUGGUGCUAAUACCGGAUAAGCCCUUCGGGGGAAAGAUUUAUUGCCAUUAGAUCGGCCGGCGUUUGAUUAGCUAGUUGGUGAGGUAACGGCACACGAAGGCGACGCUCUAUAGCUGCUCUGAGAGGAUGAUCAGCAUCACUGGGACUGAGACACGGCCCAGACUCCUACGGGAGGCAGCAGUGGGGAAUAUUGGACAAUGGGGGAAACCCUGAUCCAGCCAUGCCGCGUGAAUGACGAAGGCCUUCGGGUUGUAAAGUUCUUUUGACGGGGUCGAUGAUGACGGUACCCGUAGAAUAAGCUCCGGCUAACUUCGUGCCAGCAGCCGCCGUAA